CCACGAGUGAGCGCUCAGUAUCGCUUUUUCGAACGUUUUUAAUAAGUCACCCUUCCCUUCAGUUUAAAGUUAUAAAAGGAGGAGGCAGAUCUCAGCCCCGAGAUGGGCGCACGGACAUCAGCACACAGCCCAGGGCACGGCAGAGCAGGGGUGGGUGUGCUUUGGGCACGGCCACGCACACUGAGCACCCCCUGUGCCCGGCAGCAUUGGGCAGGCGGGGAGCACAUCGUCAGCCCCCGUGGAAGAGCUGCUCUGGGAAGUGCACCCAUUGCACGGCUGUGUCCUCCCACGGCGUGAAAUCCAGGCAGGGACCGUCCUCAGCCGUGCGCCGAGCGGAGGGACGAUGGCUGCUGGACACGGCUUCAUGCUGACGCUGUGGGGCUCAUCGGAAGCACAGCGGGGCUUUGCGCAGCGCGGGGCUCUCUGCGGAGCUCAGCUGCAGCUCCGCCGGACCCCCCCUACUUCGUCGGCCAGACAGCGACCACAGCGAUGGCAAUGAGCAGCAGCACGAUCACCACCAGCAUUCCGCAGGACGUUGACUUUCUGUCCACCAUCUUCACGUGCCGUGUCUGAGUGCGAAGCUUGCUGUCCGUGUUCUCCACCAGGUUCGUGAGGUCGUCGAUGAUCUCGUUCUGCUCGUCCAGCUCAUUCCCAAUUUCCUGUCCCAUUUGCUUUUGCCGGGAUAUGAUUGAAGAGAGAGCAUCCAGUCCAGCAUCUUGCUCUUCUAUGAUCCUCCGCUGCUGCUGCCUGAUGUCAUCGAAGCCAAGCCCUCUGGUUUCCUCAGACUCCUCCAGGAGCCAUGGGUUGGUCACUCCUCGUUUGACACCUCCUGCCAUUAGGCUAGAUCUGAUCACGUCUGGCUCCGUGCCCUCGUUCUUGUAAGACGACUGCAGUUGCUUCUGCCGUGUGAGAAGGUCAUCCACCAAGUUCUGCCUCCUGUCUCCCUCCAGCUGGGUGAUCUGGUGUGUUGACACAGCCCGGAGCAAGGAGUCCUUCAGCUGAUCAAUCUUCUCCUUGAGAUUCUGCAGUGACGACCUGAUAAUCACAUUGAGCUUGGCCGAGCUCUCCCCAUUGCGCCGGUGCCGGCUGCGCUCCUGGAUCCGCUCGGCCACCUCCUGGGCCAGCUGGCAGGCGGCGUCGUACUGCGAGAGCCAGGGGUCCGGAGCCAUCACAGCCACC
rnacentral:lncRNA from 1 species